ensembl:lncRNA
AAAAAAAUUAAAUAAAAUGUCAUGCAAUAAAUAUGCAUUUAAUAUGCAAGUACAACAAGUACUAUGAUUAUAUAUGAAUAUAUGACUGUUUGAUUAAAAAAAAAUAGGAUUAAAUAAUAUAAUAAAAAUACAGUAGUUAAUAUAAAAUAAAUAAAUGUAUUUCACAAUGGAAAAAUCUUAGUUAUUAAAAAUACACUACAUGUUCCUUUUUGGGGGUGGGGGUGGGGGUGAACUUUGACCCUGAAAUUUUUUUAUGCAUUUGCAGUGUUUUGUUACAUUUUAUAAUCAUUGCAAAAAGUAAUACUAGACAUGUCUAUCCCUUACAAACAUGUUUGCAAGAAAAAAAAAUGAAGUCAAUCCCUGACUUGAGGUUCUUUGACCUCCGACCAGUAGAUGGCACUGUGAGUGUGCUGGGUCAUUAUUUUGGAUGUGUCUUUUGUAGAAUACACAGAUUCUACAUAUGUUUGUGCACUUUUUCUCUGUAAACACCCCUUUUGCCAUGUGUUUAUUGCCUUAUUUCUGAUGCUGUGAAUGUGUCAGGUUGAAAUGUAAUGAUUAUGAUUGUUAUGAACGUUGAGACAGUGUUUGUGUCCUGGGGGCCAGAUCUCAUUCACUGAGUGUUGUGAAGUGAUUUGUUGCAUGAAUGAAUCAGAAAAAAUAAUCCGAACAGACAACAUGGAGUGGGGGGAAGAAGUUUGUAGAGAGAUUAUCAUAUAAAAUUCACACCAUUUCCAAGUCAGCUCACACUCGACACGUCCGUCAGCCGAAAGUGUGCCUUUCUUACAGGCUUCGUGACCGCUCAGAUGAUGGAUGACCUGUUUGCACCUCAGCCCACUGAUCUUCUGCCUCUUGCAGUCACCAUUCAUUUCAAAAGUGAACGGUACUUCAGCCAUCAUCUGUGACCAAAACAACUGCAAAAACAAAGAGGAAAAAGACAGUAACACUACCAUUUGUCCCAUCAUUUGUUGCCUGUGCAAAAGCCUCACCUUGUUCAUUCAAAUUUCAAUGUAAAAAUAUUGUAUUUUUCACAAAAUGCUGCCAAUAUGUAAAUGUAUGUUGAUAUUGCCAAUUAUUGUGACUUUUGAACCUGUUAUUUAUUUCUGUACAUUUCUCACUUCUAACUCUGUGUCACUUUAUAAACUGUUACCGUUAAUUAGGCCAGCAGUUUUAUUUUAGGAGGGAAUUGUCACUCUUUGUAAUAUACACAUUCCUCGUGCCAACUUAUGAAAGUUCUCACAUUUUUUUUAACUCUUGAAACAGUACUGACAGUGAACACUGGCAUGUAUGGACUCUACUCAGUUUUACUGAGUUUACUCACAUUUUUAAAGUUAUUGUACACAGUCACUGACAAGGAAAAAUGUGUUAUUAAAAUGUUUGUAUGCGCACUCCAACAAAUGAAUUUAUACAUAAAGUCUCUUAAACUAAUGUUUUAAGCUGGUUUGAUGUUAUUUUGUGGAGGAUUUUUUUAAUUUUAUUUUAAUCAUUAUUCACUGAAACAUUUGUCAUAUACUUUCGCUCUCAAAGUUGAUUUCAGUACAUGGAGG